UACGUAGGGUGCGAGCGUUAAUCGGAAUUACUGGGCGUAAAGCGUGCGCAGGCGGUUUUGUAAGCCAGAUGUGAAAUCCCCGGGCUUAACCUGGGAAUGGCAUUUGGGACUGCAAGGCUGGAGUGCGGCAGAGGAGACUGGAAUUCCUGGUGUAGCAGUGAAAUGCGCAGAUAUCAGGAGGAACACCGGUGGCGAAGGCGGAUCUCUGGGCCUUACCUGACGCUCAGGUGCGAAAGCUAGGGGAGCGAACAGG
rnacentral:rRNA from 1 species